GGGAAGGUGGCUCAGUGGUAGAGUGCUUGCCUUGCAUGCAUGAGGCCCUGGGUUCGAUUCCUUAUGUGCUUG
rnacentral:tRNA from 1 species